ACCAAGAUGGGGUACGGUUCUCCGUUUAUGUUUUUUGUUUUAGGGUUUUUAGGCCAUUUGAGUUGUGAGAAAGGGAGAAGAGACGUGUUUUUUAUUUGUAUAUCCUUAUGUGGCAUUGAAAGUUACUAGAUGUUGUCGUCAUGUAUUGCCUGAUUUUUUUGAUUUCAUUAGGCGUCUUAUCAAAUCCAAAUUGUCUGAUUUUCCUCACUCAGUAUGAUUGUUUUUUCUAUACCGCUAUAGGAGUUCUUAGAGUCUAAGCAUUUCUGGUUCACUGCAGCUGAAUUCAAGGUCAAGCUCUCUCACCUGAUACAAAAUGUGAUAGCUCCUUCUUAUAAGACUCUAAUUCUGAGUAAGUAAGGAGAUGGAGUUGCUUUUUGGCAAUUAACCAAGAUGGAGUUGAAGACUUUUUGGUAGUUAAAUGGAACACUUGUUUUGAGUUCUUUUUGUUCUUGGACACAUCAUGGAUAUAUGGAUGUUUUGUAAUUUCGGUAAUGCAGUUAAGUUAGAAGUGAUUAUUGUUGGAGGAUGAAGGUAAUUUUGAAGUUGGAUGAUGAAUGUUGACUUAUUGAAUAUUUGAUUUGAAUGAUAUUUUGCUUCUUUGCAAUUUAAA